rnacentral:rRNA from 1 species
GACGAACGCUGGCGGCAUGCCUAAUACAUGCAAGUCGAGCGAGUGGCGGACGGGUGAGUAAUGUAUGGGGAACUGCCCGAUGGAGGGGGAUAACUACUGGAAACGGUAGCUAAUACCGCAUACCAUCGGAUGUACCCAUAUGGGAUUAGCUAGUAGGUGGGGUAAUGGCUCACCUAGGCGACGAUCCCUAGCUGGUCUGAGAGGAUGACCAGCCACACUGGAACUGAGACACGGUCCAGACUCCUACGGGAGGCAGCAGUGGGGAAUAUUGCACAAUGGGCGCAAGCCUGAUGCAGCCAUGCCGCGUGUAUGAAGAAGGCCUUAGGGUUGUAAAGUACUUUCAGCGGGGAGGCGUUACCGACAGAAGAAGCACCGGCUAACUCCGUGCCAGCAGCCGCGGUAAUUC